rnacentral:rRNA from 1 species
CCACCUUUGACAUGGCAGGAACUUACCAGAGAUGGUUUGGUGCUCGAAAGAGAACCUGCACACAGGUGCUGCAUGGCUGUCGUCAGCUCGUGUCGUGAGAUGUUGGGUUAAGUCCCGCAACGAGCGCAACCCUUGCCAUUAGUUGCUACAUUCAGUUGAGCACUCUAAUGGGACUGCCGGUGACAAACCGGAGGAAGGUGGGGAUGACGUCAAGUCCUCAUGGCCCUUAUAGGUGGGGCUACACACGUCAUACAAUGGCUGGUACAAAGGGUUGCCAACCCGCGAGGGGGAGCUAAUCCCAUAAAGCCAGUCGUAGUCCGGAUCGCAGUCUGCAACUCGACUGCGUGAAGUCGGAAUCGCUAGUAAUCGUGAAUCAGAAUGUCGCGGUGAAUACGUUCCC